UUGAAUUUGUGAUCCUCCUGCCUCAGCCUCCCAAGCCGCUGGGAUUACAGGCUUACACCAGCGUGCCCAGCUCUCUGUGCUUUUGAGGAAGUUAAUUCAAUUCUGGGUCCAGUGCUGGGCAUGUGAUUUAGGCACGGCCAACAUUUCAUCCCCUUGAAUAUAGAGAUGGGUUCAGGAACGGAUACAAGACCUGACUGGACCCAGUGACUUGAGACCUAGGAUUUUUAUUAAGAUUGAAGGGAAGGGGAAGCGUCCUUUUCCCAUGGGACUUGAACCAUACAGGGAAACAACACAGUGAAUCCCGCCCCAUGGACAUCCAUAAGAGCGGGAGCCUAAUCAGAAUAGGAGGUAUCCCAUGCUUGGAUACUUACAUCAAAGUGGAUUCUGCUGUCAUGUGUGACGAUAGAAAACCAGAAAAUAAUUUUAAAAAGGAAGAAACCUGGGAGGAAGUUCAGCAGAGCUGGAAGAUGACAAGAGACCAGACCUUAGACACUGGGAGCCCUGGCGUUACACUUUGCCUGAAGACAGUUGGAACCACUGGACUUGGGUUUUGUGAGUCAACUUCCCUUUUGUGGAAAGAGUUUGAGUGUCACCUUCUGUUAUUUGCAACCAAAAAGUCCCAACAGGGACAGAUCCCUUCCAGCCCCCAGAGACCCUCAGAGAAAUAGAUGUUAAAGCCGUUCACAAACAUUCCAGCUUCUCUUCCCUGGGCAGGUGGUGAGAUGGCGCUUCGUCACUCAUUCUGAGUGAGGCCUGGCAUGUGGCAUUCAUUGUCAACAAAACAUGGUGGAGGCUCCAUCAGCCUGGGUCCCAGCUUGAGGACAACGUGAAGCACAGACCAAGCACAGAUGUUUGGCAGAUAUGUACCGUGAGCCAGAAAUAAACCUUUGUUGCUUUAA